UACGUAGGGGGCAAGCGUUGUCCGGAAUCAUUGGGCGUAAAGCGCGUGUAGGCGGUUCGGUAAGUCUGCUGUGAAAGUCCAGGGCUCAACCCUGGGAUGCCGGUGGAUACUGUCGGACUAGAGUACGGAAGAGGCGAGUGGAAUUCCCGGUGUAGCGGUGAAAUGCGCAGAUAUCGGGAGGAACACCAAUUGCGAAGGCAGCUCGCUGGGACGUCACUGACGCGUGAGACGCGAAAGCGUGGGGAGCAAACAGG
rnacentral:rRNA from 1 species